AGGCAGUAGGCAACGAGGAGGACGACAUGGCGGGGACCCCCCAUGGGCGUUCAGGGAACAUCGAUCCUGAAUACUACGAUCCAAAGCCACUCGAACUCCAACUGAAAAGUUUCAGACUUAAGCUCCAGCCAUCGUCUGAACCAACAACUUCCAACCACCACCUUACCAAAACCACCAAGUGCAGGCACCAAAAGAACACACGGCUAGGAUCAACUUCAACGCCACACCAGCACCUCCUAAUCAACUUAUACGUACAAAAGACAUGAGUGGCUUGAGAGUUGAGACAGUCCGCCGCCGACGCGCACCGUCAGCCACCGCCGUGCGUUUGCUCCGCCGUCUUACGCGCUCCGCACCGCCGCCGCCACGCACAGCUCCGCCACCGCCGACGCGCGCAUCUCCGCCGCUGCGCAGCCUGCUCCCCGCCGCGUAGCUCUGCCACCGCCGACGCGCAGCUCUGCAGCCGCCGCACGGCCUGCUCCGCCAUGCAUGUGGCUGGGAUCUAUGCAGGCCCUGGAUUUCUGGAGGAGCCACUGAGGAUUGAGGAGAGACGUGGGGAGGUAGGCAUCGGGUGGAGGAGAAAAACUCAGGAGGCUUGGGGUAGGAGCUAGAUCGGCGGAGAUUAGCGCGCCGUACUGUAAGACUCCGCGGGGCACGUGCCCCACGUAGAAUUUCUGACAAAUUAAACCACGGAUUUCCGACAGCCAAUUUGGUCGGGGAAACAGCUUUUAGCGACGGAAGAUCGGUCAGGAAAGGGUUUUCUCGACCAACAUUGUCUGUCACUGAAAGUCUUGUCGGCAAGGGCCUUUCCCGACCAACAUUUUUUACCGACCGACUGUUUAUCGCUAUUAUGAAAUCUUUCCUGACCGACAAUGUCUUUUCCGACUGACGGUCUUUUCUCGAAAGACAACCCUUUCCCGACCAACACUCCGAUGGCAUGCGUUUCGCCGACCGACCGUCUAUUGAUGGUAUUCAGUUUUGCCGACCAACUUUCUGAUGCCACUACAUCAUCUUUUCCCGACCGACUGUUAGACGAUGGUAAUUUUGCCAACCCAACUUUGGGUUCAUUGCGUACGUACGUGCACACUCAAUCAAGUUACAUAUAUCACAACAGUAAGUUUUUGACACACAUAAAUAAUUCAUAUCAUCGAAACAUAGUUACCAUUUAGAUUCUCAUAAACUAAAGGAAACAUCGUUCAAAGUUCAAGAAACCAUACAAGUUUACAAAAUAAUUCAUUGUUUGCUCCAUUACACAAAAUAUCCAUUUGACAGAAACCCCGACUUCAUGGUUUCUUGCCCGUCA